AAUUAAUGAUCUUGUAAAAGAUUAUGUUUUGAAAACAUACUAAAGAAAUCUUAAAUUUUCUAUUAAUUU
rnacentral:tRNA from 1 species